GAUGAACGCUGGCGGCGUGCCUAAUACAUGCAAGUCGAGCGAACAGACGAGGAGCUUGCUCCUCUGAUGUUAGGGGCGGACGGGUGAGUAACACGUGGAUAACCUACCUAUAAGACUGGGAUAACUUCGGGAAACCGGAGCUAAUACCGGAUAACAUGUUGAACCGCAUGGUUCAACAGUGAAAGACGGUCUUGCUGUCACUUAUAGAUGGAUCCGCGCCGCAUUAGCUAGUUGGUAAGGUAACGGCUUACCAAGGCAACGAUGCGUAGCCGACCUGAGAGGGUGAUCGGCCACACUGGAACUGAGACACGGUCCAGACUCCUACGGGAGGCAGCAGUAGGGAAUCUUCCGCAAUGGGCGAAAGCCUGACGGAGCAACGCCGCGUGAGUGAAGAAGGUCUUCGGAUCGUAAAACUCUGUUAUUAGGGAAGAACAAAUGUGUAAGUAACUAUGCACGUCUUGACGGUACCUAAUCAGAAAGCCACGGCUAACUACGUG
rnacentral:rRNA from 1 species